CCUCGGAGUUGCCUGCAGUCAACACUUGGCUUCAGAGAAGUGAAGAGGUAUGGAACGCCGCUCACGUGCACCUACAACGGGCGGUACGAAGAAACCGAGCACAAGCUGAUCGUCACAGGAGAGGAGGCCCCCGAGUAUAGACCUGGGCAAUGGGUCUGGCUGUCAUCCCGAGAUCUUCGCUUGCGGCUUCCCAGUAAAAAGCUGAGUCCAAGGUAUGUGGGUCCAUUCAAGAUACUCCGACAAAUAACCCCUGUUUCUUACCGUUUGGCUUACCCACUAACUAUCGCAUCUCUCCCACAUUUCAUGUGUCCCUGCUCAAGCCCGCCGGUGGUCCGAGAGGAGAGAGGGACCAGGACGAGGCUGCGGAGAGCAACACCCCUCCCUUGAUCAUCGACGGCGAGGUGGCCUACCGAGUACGAGAGAUACUCGAUUCACGACGCCGAGGCAGGGAGCUGCAAUACUUAAUUGACUGGGAGGGAUACGGUCCUGAGGAAAGAUCCUGGGUCAGUUCACAGGAUAUCUUGGACCCCACGCUCAUCUCUGACUUCCAUCGGGAUCAUCCGGAAAGACCAGCUCCCAAGCCCCGUGGCAGACCUCGGCGUCAAGAUGGACCUCGCUUCAGGAGCCGCUCGCAGGAGGGGGGCUCUGUCACAAACCGCACCACUGUGGCUCUCUCCGAUCGCCACCGGAGGACACCCUCACCAGAGUACUACCAUUAUGGACCACAUUACCCACAUGCCCUGUGCCUUGGCCUGAUUACCUACCCCAGGUGUUUGUCAUUUCCAUUCCCUAUUUAAGCUGUGCUCUUCUCAUCAACCAUUGCGAAGUAUUGUUAGCCCCGGCCACAAUUUCUGAGCGUUUCUUCUGAUUCUUUGAUUCUCGUGUAUUGACCUAGGACUGUUUACUUUUCUCUGAUUGCCUGCCUGUUGCCUUUGGACCUUUGAGCUUGCUUCUCCGUCUUUGAUUCUCUGCUGCCUGCCCCGACCAUAGCCUGGUAUCUGUUACUGAUUUUGGAUUGUGUUUUGUGAUUCUCUACGCUGUUGUUUUGACCCUGCCCAUCUUGCACCAUUAAAGUUUUAUCGCAAAUGGAUCCAGACGUUUCUGACCCUUCAUCACACUGGGGUGGAUCUCAGCUCUCCAACACUCUCACUGAACGCACUGUGACCCUCAGCUGUUUAUUUACUGGAUAAAAGGUUUAUUGAUUCUUGGACUUGAUAUCAUGCUAGGAGAGUGAGAACCGAGUGCAUGCAGAGGAGAAGUGGCCAUGUGAGCACAUUGGUAAUGUGUCCUUGUGCAACUCUGUGUCCAAAAACAAACGAAGUGAAGAAGAUGAGAUUAUCAGUACCA